UACAGAGGUCUCAAGCGUUGUUCGGAUUCAUUGGGCGUAAAGGGUGCGUAGGCGGCGCGGUAAGUCGGGUGUGAAAUCUUGGAGCUUAACUCCGAAACUGCAUUCGAUACUGCCGUGCUUGAGGACUGGAGAGGAGACUGGAAUUUACGGUGUAGCGGUGAAAUGCGUAGAUAUCGUAAGGAAGACCAGUGGCGAAGGCGGCGACCUGGGUAGAUACUGACGCUGAGGUGCGAAAGCGUGGGGAGCAAACAGG
rnacentral:rRNA from 1 species